GGGCGCUUAGCUCAGGGGUAGAGCGCUUCCUUGACGCGGAAGAGGCCAGAGGUUCGAAUCCUCUAGCGCCCACCA
rnacentral:tRNA from 1 species